rnacentral:rRNA from 1 species
GAUGAACGCUGGCGGCGUGCCUAAUACAUGCAAGUCGAGCGAACAGACGAGGAGCUUGCUCCUCUGACGUUAGCGGCGGACGGGUGAGUAACACGUGGAUAACCUACCUAUAAGACUGGGAUAACUUCGGGAAACCGGAGCUAAUACCGGAUAAUAUAUUGAACCGCAUGGUUCAAUAGUGAAAGACGGUUUUGCUGUCACUUAUAGAUGGAUCCGCGCCGCAUUAGCUAGUUGGUAAGGUAACGGCUUACCAAGGCGACGAUGCGUAGCCGACCUGAGAGGGUGAUCGGCCACACGAGAACUGAGACACGGUCCAGACUCCUACGGGACGCAGCAGUAGGGAAUCUUCCGCAAUGGGCGAAAGCCUGACGGAGCAACGCCGCGUGAGUGAUGAAGGUCUUCGGAUCGUAAAACUCUGUUAUUAGGGAAGAACAAAUGUGUAAGUAACUAUGCACGUCUUGACGGUACCUAAUCAGAAAGCCACGGCUAACUACGUG